rnacentral:rRNA from 1 species
AACGCGAAGAACCUUACCUGGGCUCGAAGCGCAGUGGAAUCCGGUGGAAACAUCGGCGCCCCUUAAAAGGCUGCUGCGGAGGUGCUGCAUGGCUGUCGUCAGCUCGUGUCGUGAGAUGUUGGGUUAAGUCCCGCAACGAGCGCAACCCUUACUCAUAGUUGCUACCCGCAAGGGAGAACUCUAUGAGGACUGCUCCGGAUAACGGAGAGGAAGGUGGGGAUGAGGUCAAGUCAGCAUGGCCUUUAUGUCCAGGGCUACACACGUGUUACAAUGCAUGGUACAAAGUGUCGCGAACCCGCGAGGGGGAGCUAAUCGCAAAAAACUAUGCUCAGUUCGGAUUGCAGUCUGCAACUCGACUGCAUGAAGCCGGAAUCGCUAGUAAUGGCGUAUCAGAUCGACGCCGUGAAUACGUUCCCGGGCCUUGUACACACCGGAGUA